rnacentral:lncRNA from 1 species
CAGGAAUUGAGAUUAGUCUCUGAUACCACUUGUAAGGUCGUUUACUUAUCCAAUUUAGUUUGACAUUACGUGCAGAAUUAUUCUAUUAAAAGCAACAAGAUACUUUUUAAUAGUUUCUAAAUGAUUAAUCAAAUAGUCUAAUUACCCUAAGUUGAAUUGUCGCAAUUUGUAAUAUGAAAACAGUAAAUAACACCAGUAUAAUGACGAGAAAAUCGUAAUUGGGUAAAAACUGUGGAACCAAACCAAUUACCUCUAAUAUAGACAAUGACUUCUACAGUUAGAUGUCGUCUAGCCAACUCUACUAGAUUUCUCGAUUUACUUCCUUUAAUCUCCAAGAUCUACUGACUCCACCAGCUUCCCGAUGUUUUCCAAUUGUCUCUUCCAAGUGGAAUUCCAAGAAUAGAUAAUUCUUGUGCUUUUCUUGUGCUUGUAGUCUAUCUCUCCCAAUGCCCAACUGAGAGAGUAUCUUCUUUACGGUGUUAAGGAAGUCAGAUGUAUUGGAUUUAAGGAGUUGAUGUUUUCCCAAAUAUGUGGUUGCAGGAUCUCAAGAAUUAAAGAAUUGAAUCACCACCAAAGGAUUGAUAUGUAUAUGAGGCAUAAUGAACGACCACCCCAAAAAUUGUGCAAUGCUUGGGUAUUUGUAGUUAGGGAUGUUUAUGUAUUAUAGGCCGUGUAAAACUUUCCAAAAUCAUGAAUUAGGAUUAGCCACAUAAUACUAUCGCUCAAGCGACACUCCGACGAAAAGCGAGCGAGAAACUCUCGCUCGAGCAAAGUCCGAGCAACGAUCGGUCUGUUUUUGUCGUUUGAGCAAUAUCUUGGCUAGUAGAUACCGACAUUGCGAUGUCUCUUCUUUUCUUAUUUCAGACUCGAACUCUUCACUUACCAAACUC